rnacentral:lncRNA from 1 species
CAAACUUUGGCUAUAACCAUAUGAGCCUUGUAAACAAUGAGUAGAGGGCUUGACCUUUUUCUUUAAUGGAAUUAAUUCGCCCGACCACGACGAAUCAAUCAGAGUUGCCUGGAUGCGGUUUUCUGAGUUCUGAGAUGUGAGCAUGGGCAUUCAUAAGUACAACUAAUAAUAUUAAUACCCUGUUCAAGAACCACAUUGCACAUUAUUUCAAGACAAAGCAUUUAUCCCCUUGAUCAUUAUUUUGUUCUGCAUGAUAUGCAGUAAAUUCUUUGAUUCUUUAAUAAUUAUUCUUUGGUGAGAUUAGAUAAUAUCUGGUGCAUGCAUGCACUUUUUUGCUGAACUGUGAUAGGAUGGUAAACAGCCAGAUUCUCUAGGAUAAAUGGAUAUUAAAAGCAGCCUUUGUUGGUUUAAAGUUGGAAACAAGUGGGGUAUGAUGGAUCAUAAAUGUUUUUUAAUCCAGUUGUUGUCUGACCAGAUUUAUUUUCUUCAAUUCUUUUAUAAGAG